rnacentral:rRNA from 1 species
UACGGAGGGUGCAAGCGUUAAUCGGAAUUACUGGGCGUAAAGCGCACGCAGGUGGCUGAGUCAGUCGAUUGUGAAAGCCCUGGGCUUAACCUGGGAAUUGCAGUCGAUACUACUCGGCUCGAGUAUGGGAGAGGGCAGUGGAAUUCCCGGUGUAGCGGUGAAAUGCGUAGAUAUCGGAAGGAACAUCAGUGGCGAAAGCGACUUCCUGGACCAGUACCGACGUUCAGGCACGAAAGCGUGGGGAGCAAACAGG